GAUGAACGCUCGCUACAGGCUUAACACAUGCAAGUCGAGGGGAAACGCCAUCGAAAGCUUGCUUUUGAUGGGCGUCGACCGGCGCACGGGUGAGUAACGCGUAUCCAACCUGCCCACCACUUGGGGAUAACCUUGCGAAAGUAAGACUAAUACCCAAUGACGUCCCUAGAAGACAUCUGAAAGAGAUUAAAGAUUUAUCGGUGAUGGAUGGGGAUGCGUCUGAUUAGCUUGUUGGCGGGGUAACGGCCCACCAAGGCGACGAUCAGUAGGGGUUCUGAGAGGAAGGUCCCCCACAUGGGAACUGAGACACGGUCCAAACUCCUACGGGAGGCAGCAGUGAGGAAUAUUGGUCAAUGGACGAGAGUCUGAACCAGCCAAGUAGCGUGCAGGAUGACGGCCCUAUGGGUUGUAAACUGCUUUUAUAAGGGAAUAAAGUGAGUCUCGUGAGACUUUUUGCAUGUACCUUAUGAAUAAGGACCGGCUAAUUCCGUG
rnacentral:rRNA from 1 species